rnacentral:rRNA from 1 species
CCUACGGGCGGCAGCAGUGGGGAAUAUUGCGCAAUGGGCGAAAGCCUGACGCAGCGAUGCCGCGUGCGGGAUGAAGGUCCUCGGAUCGUAAACCUCUGUCAGCAGGGAAGAACGGUCACUGUGCUAAUCAGUAGUGAAUUGACGGCACCUGCAAAGGAAGCAUCGGUUAACUCCGUGCCAGCAGCCGCGGCAAUACGGAGGGUGCGAGCGUUAAUCGGAAUUAUUGGGCGUAAAGCGCUCGUAGGCGGUAUGUCAAGUCUAGGGUGAAGUGCCCGAGCUCAACGUGGGAACUGCCUUGGAAACUGGCAAGCUGGAGUGUGUGAGAGGAUAGUGGAAUUCCAGGUGUAGGAGUGAAAUCCGUAGAUAUCUGGAGGAACAUCAGUGGCGAAGGCGACUAUCUGGCACAUAACUGACGCUGAGGAGCGAAGGCGUGGGUAGCAAACAGGAUUAGAUACCCUUGUAGUC